CCUACGGGUGGCAGCAGUGAGGAAUAUUGGUCAAUGGACGGAAGCCUGAACCAGCCAUGCCGCGUGCGGGAAGACGGCUCUAUGAAUUGUAAACUGCUUUUGUACGAGGGCAAAUCCCGAUACGUGUAUCGGGUUGAAAGUAUCGUACGAAUAAGGAUCGGCUAACUCCGUGCCAGCAGCCGCGGUAAUACGGAGGAUUCGAGCGUUAUCCGGAUUUAUUGGGUUUAAAGGGUGCGUAGGCGGUUCGAAAAGUUAGGGGUGAAAUCCCGGGGCUCAACUGCGGCACUGCCUUUGAUACUGUCGGGCUAGAGUGUGGUUGCGGUAGGCGGAAUGUAUGGUGUAGCGGUGAAAUGCAUAGAGAUCAUACAGAACACCGAUUGCGAAGGCAGCUUACGAAACUGCGACUGACGUUGAGGCACGAAAGCGUGGGGAGCAAACAGGAUUAGAUACCCCAGUAGUC
rnacentral:rRNA from 1 species